rnacentral:lncRNA from 1 species
GAGAGGCCCUACAAUACCCAUAUGUGCCCCCACAGCCCUGUUAGGGACAGGAGGAGAACCUCACCCUAACUUGAGCAAAGUCGAAGGCUCGGUUACCCUUAGACUGGAUGGGGGGAGAGGUCCUACAACACCCAUAUGUGCCCCCACAGCCCUGUUAGGGACAGGAGGAGAACCUCGCCCUAACUUGAGCAAAGUCGAAGGCCCGGUUACCCUU